UACGUAGGGGGCAAGCGUUGUCCGGAUUUAUUGGGCGUAAAGAGCGUGUAGGCGGUCUCGCAAGUCGGAUGUGAAAGCCCAGGGCUCAACCCUGGAAGUGCACUCGAUACUGCGAGGCUAGAGUCCCGGAGAGGAUGGUGGAACUCUCGGUGUAGAGGUGAAAUUCGUAGAUAUCGAGAAGAACACCGGUGGCGAAGGCGGCCAUCUGGACGGUGACUGACGCUGAGACGCGAAAGCGUGGGGAGCAAACAGG
rnacentral:rRNA from 1 species